GAUGAACGCUGGCGGCGUGCCUAAUACAUGCAAGUCGAGCGAACAGACGAGGAGCUUGCUCCUCUGACGUUAGCGGCGGACGGGUGAGUAACACGUGGAUAACCUACCUAUAAGACUGGGAUAACUUCGGGAAACCGGAUCUAAUACCGGAUAAUAUAUUGAACCGCAUGGUUCAAUAGAGAAAGACGGUUUUGCUGUCACUUAUAGAUGGAUCCGCGCCGCAUUAGCUAGUUGGUAAGGUAACGGCUUACCAAGGCAACGAUGCGUAGCCGACCUGAGAGGGUGAUCGGCCACACUGGAACUGAGACACGGUCCAGACUCCUACGGGAGGCAGCAGUAGGGAAUCUUCCGCAAUGGGCGAAAGCCUGACGGAGCAACGCCGCGUGAGUGAUGAAGGUCUUCGGAUCGUAAAACUCUGUUAUUAGGGAAGAACAAAUGUGUAAGUAACUAUGCACGUCUUGACGGUACCUAAUCAGAAAGCAACGGCUAACUUCGUG
rnacentral:rRNA from 1 species